rnacentral:rRNA from 1 species
GAUGAACGCUGGCGGCGUGCUUAACACAUGCAAGUCGAACGGUGAAGGCGGAGCUUGCUCUGCUGGAUCAGUGGCGAACGGGUGAGUAACACGUGAGCAAUCUGCCCCUGACUCUGGGAUAAGCGCUGGAAACGGCGUCUAAUACUGGAUACGAGCUGCGAAGGCAUCUUCAGCAGCUGGAAAGAACUUCGGUCAGGGAUGAGCUCGCGGCCUAUCAGCUUGUUGGUGAGGUAACGGCUCACCAAGGCGUCGACGGGUAGCCGGCCUGAGAGGGUGACCGGCCACACUAGGACUGGGACACGGCACAGACUCCUACGGGAGGCAGCAGUGGGGAAGAGUGCACAAUGGGCGGAAGCCUGAUGCAGCAACGCCGCGUGAGGGACGACGGCCUUCGGGUUGUAAACCUCUUUUAGCAGGGAAGAAGCGAAAGUGACGGUACCUGCAGAAAAAGCGCCGGCUAACUACGUG